GACGAACGCUGGCGGCGUGCUUAACACAUGCAAGUCGAACGGAAAGGCCCUACUUUUGUGGGGUGCUCGAGUGGCGAACGGGUGAGUAACACGUGAGUAACCUGCCCUUUACUUUGGGAUAACUUCAGGAAACUGGGGCUAAUACCGGAUAGGAGCUCCUGCUGCAUGGUGGGGGUUGGAAAGUUUCGGCGGUUGGGGAUGGACUCGCGGCUUAUCAGCUGGUUGGUGGGGUAGUGGCUUACCAAGGCUUUGACGGGUAGCCGGCCUGAGAGGGUGACCGGCCACAUUGGGACUGAGAUACGGCCCAGACUCCUACGGGAGGCAGCAGUGGGGAAUAUUGCACAAUGGGCGGAAGCCGGAUGCAGCAACGCCGCGUGCGGGAUGACGGCCUUCGGGUUGUAAACCGCUUUCGCCUGUGACGAAGCGUGAGUGACGGUAACGGGUAAAGAAGCACCGGCUAACUACGUG
rnacentral:rRNA from 1 species